UACGUAGGGUGCAGGCGUUAAUCGGAAUUACUGGGCGUAAAGCGUGCGCAGGCGGUUUGCUAAGACAGGUGUGAAAUCCCCCGGGCUUAACCUGGGAACUGCGCUUGUAACUGGCAAGCUUGAGUGUGGCAGAGGGGGGGUGGAAUUCCACGUGUAGCAGUGAAAUGCGUAGAGAUGUGGAGGAACACCGAUGGCGAAGGCAGCCCCCCUGGGCUAACACUGACGCUGAGGCGCGAAAGCUAGGGGAGCAAACGGG
rnacentral:rRNA from 1 species